UCUCCACAGCGAGGCACAGACUCCGAUAGGCGGUGCAGGCGAAGAGGGAGGCGGGUGCCCUGGAGGAGCCCCCGGGAUCUGGCAGCACCGCCGGCACUGGAGCAUCCACCCGUGGGGCACAGGGAGCCGGGUUCAGCCUGACCCCACAUCAGGCAGGAAAGCUCCUCACAGGCAGGGAAAGCCACCAUGGAGCAGCCAGCCCCCUAGCCCCCUGCCUCUCCCUGCCCUGACCAUGGGGCAGCCAGCCCCAAUCCCCCCACCUCUCCCUGCCCUGACCACAGGACCGCCAACCCUCCAGCCCCCUGCCCAGUCCUACCCCCAGCUCUGAUCCACGGGACAGCCAGCCCCCUAGCCCCCACCUCUCCCUGCUCUGACUAUGGAGCAGCCAGACCCCUAGUCCCUGGCCCCUCCCUGCCCCCAAGGUCUGACCCAGGGGCCAGCCAGUCCCCUAUUCCACCCACCCCUCCCUGCCCCCAGAUCUGACCCACCAGGUAGCCUGCCCCUUAUCCCCCCAUCUCUCCCUGGCGCCUGGAUCUGACCCAUAGGCCUAGGCAGCCCAGUAUCCCCUUCCCUGUGUCAGACCCAUUCACACACCGUGGGGCUGGAGUAACCCUGAGUUGGGUGGUCCCAGGACGGCAGGCACCUUGAAGGGGACGAGGGGCGGGGCUCAGGACCCUGGCUAUCCAUGUCAGAGGGGGUCCCUCAAGCCAGGAGGUGCUGACCCAUCUUUUCCCCCCAGCUCGGCCAUGGGGCCCCCCACUGAGCUGCUGCGGGGCCGGGCAGGCCCGGAGGCCUGGCGCAAUGAGGCCAAGGCCAUGGUGCGGGCAGCGCACCAGCUGCGGGGGCGCUGCUGGCGGGAGGCGCUGGCACAGUGGCGCCCACCGCACCCCCUAGGCCAGCCUCAGGAGACACCCUACGAGCGCCGCACACGGCUUCAGGGCUGGCGCUUCAAACUGGACGUGACGGAGGCUGGUGAGACACUGGAGAAGCCGCCUGAGGGGCCGGGCAUCACACUGUGGAAGAGCAAGAUGAAGCCCCCACCAUGGGUGAGCCAGCUGCCCCUGCCCUGCUUCCGGGACCACUGCGCCAGCCAGAGCAACAGGCUGGCUGCCCGCUAUGCCAGCGCUGUGCGCCUGGUGGUCAGCCGGCUGCGCCAGGCGCUCACCGAGCUCAAUGAGCAAGCCAAGCGCCUCAACCUGGCACGCCAGCGCCUUGAUGCUGCCCUGGCCAAGGUGCGCACCGCGCUGCUCACCAACCAGCAGAGUGCCCUGGUGCGCGGGCACCGGCCCCCAGCUGAGCAGGCCCCAGACCAAGUGGACGCACUGCUGCGGUGGGAACGCAAGGAGCUGCAGAGGCUGAAGGUGGAGCUGGAAGGAGACAUGGACAUGUCGGAGGCGCACCUGAAGGCGCUGGGCAAGUGCCAGCACACCCUGAACAUGCUGUGCCAGGAGCGGGGACAGGUGCUGGAGCUGCUGGGGCAGCCGCUGCGCAUGGUGCUGCUGGAGGCCGAGCGCGAGUCCUGGCUCAGCCUGAGCCGGCCCUCGUCCCCCUUCGUAGUGAGGAACCCUACCCCGGAGCCCAGCCCUGUCGGGCCCUACACACCAGAGUGCGCGGCGGCCAUUGAGGAGGCACGGUGCCUGACCCUGCGCUCCAAGGAGGUGCUGGCCACGCUCAAGGCAGCCACAGCCCAGGCCACGGCCUCGCGCCACCAGGCCCAAGCGGCCUUAGAUGGCAGCCUGCAGCGCAAGAUGGACGAGACUCUGGCGCUCAAGGAGCGUCUCUACAUGGCUUUGGGGGGCAUGCGCAGCACCCUGAACCGCUGCCAGCGCUUCCACGGGGAGCUGGACAUCACCCAGGGCAUGACCAUGGGCCCUGAGUCCAGCCAGUACCUGGAAGCACGGGAGAAGCUGACCCGGCCCCUGGUGCGGGUGUACCAGCGCCAUGUGGGCACCCAACUGCCUGAGGCCCAGAUCCUCACCCAGGGGAAUUGACUAAGCAUGGGAACAAUUAACUGCCUCAGAGGACAGAACCUACCUCAUGCCUACCUCCAAACAACCUGAAGCCCUACCCAUCCAGGCCAGCUGCCAAUGCACAAGCGCGGUAACAGCGCAGCCUGGAAAAUCGGACGGCCGCGGGCUCUGGGCUUCGUGCUUCCUCAGUACGCACGCGCAAGAGAAGUGGUGGCGGGACAUGACACAUGCUGCGCAUGAGCUCGCCCGAGCUGCCAUUUUUGAAAUGACGGGGUGAGCGGCGCGCGCAACCGUCAGGGAGGGG